UACGAAGGGGGCUAGCGUUGCUCGGAAUCACUGGGCGUAAAGCGCACGUAGGCGGAUUGUUAAGUCAGGGGUGAAAUCCUGGAGCUCAACUCCAGAACUGCCUUUGAUACUGGCGAUCUUGAGUUCGGGAGAGGUGAGUGGAACUGCGAGUGUAGAGGUGAAAUUCGUAGAUAUUAGGAGGAACACCGGUGGCGAAGGCGGCUAUCUGGACGACAACUGACGCUGAGGCGCGAAAGCGUGGGGAUCAAACAGG
rnacentral:rRNA from 1 species